UUUAUGCAUAAGAAAAGUACAUGUAUAAUCUCAAUUUAGAAUGCUGAAAUCGGCAAACAGUUACGCUCCAUAUUGCAACGCACACAUCUAUAUUGUAUUAACAUUUUGCUCAUUCAGCUCUUCGACUCACCCAGUGGUCUCUUGUCCCUCAGCUGUCAGCUGCAGCAUCAGCGUGUGGUGGGAUUCUGUCGUGACCCCUAUCUCCUGGAGUCCCCCUCAGAUCUGCCGGACAUCGUCACGGAUGGGGUCCUGCAGGGCUUGUACCCCCGAGACAUCCGUGUCAGCUUCACAGCCUGCACAAAACCCAGCCUCCCAGAGAGACCCAGUCUGGCUCCAGCGAUUCCCUCUAUAUAGUGGCAGCCCAUGCAGAAGUCCUGACACUCGGAUCUGUGGAUUUUUAAAAUGGCCUUGAUAGUAAUUUGGAUGAAUGUCAUGUCUGAAUCAGCAACCAAUGGAGGCCCAUUUGCUUGUAUAGUACCAUACAAUAGAACAUGUUUGUUACUCUGGGUGCUUGCAAUAAUAAAUAGUGUUUAACAUGUUUUUUUUAAAUGACAACGCCAUCUCUGUACCCCACACAUCUGUAAGGUCCCUCAGUCGAGCAGUGAAUUUCAAACACAGAUUCAACCACAAAGACCAGGGAGGUUUUCCAAUGGUUUGCUAGGAAGGACACCUAUUGAAUGUCCCUUUGAGCAUGGGGAAGUUAUUAAUUACACUUAGGAUGGUGUAUCAAAGAUACAAGCGUCCUUCCUAACUCUGAGGAAGGAAACCGCUCAGAGAUUUCCUCAUGUGGCCAAUGGUGACUUUAAACCCGUUAAGAGUUUAAUGACUAAUACUAACCUAAUUGAAAGAGUGAAAAGAAAGAAGCCUGUACAGAAUAAAAAAAUA